GAUGAACGCUGGCGGCGUGCCUAAUACAUGCAAGUCGAGCGAACGGACGAGAAGCUUGCUUCUCUGAUGUUAGCGGCGGACGGGUGAGUAACACGUGGAUAACCUACCUAUAAGACUGGGAUAACUUCGGGAAACCGGAGCUAAUACCGGAUAAUAUUUUGAACCGCAUGGUUCAAAAGUGAAAGAAGGUCUUGCUGUCACUUAUAGAUGGAUCCGCGCUGCAUUAGCUAGUUGGUAAGGUAACGGCUUACCAAGGCAACGAUGCAUAGCCGACCUGAGAGGGUGAUCGGCCACCCUGGAACUGAGACACGGUCGAGACUCCGACGGUAGGCAGCAGUAGGGAAUCUUCCGCAAUGGGCGAAAGCCUGACGGAGCAACGCGGCGUGAGUGAUGAUGGUCUUCGGAUCGUAAAACUCUGUAAGUAGUGAAGAACAUAUGUGUAAGUAACUGUGCACAUCUUGACGGUACCUAAUCAGAAAGCCACGGCUAACUACGUG
rnacentral:rRNA from 1 species